rnacentral:rRNA from 1 species
GAUGAACGCUAGCGGCAGGCCUAACACAUGCAAGUCGAGGGAGGAGCUUUCGGGCUUCGACCGGCGUACGGGUGCGUAACGCGUAUACAAUCUGCCUUUCACAUAGGUAUACCCCGAGGAAAUUUGAAUUAAUACCUAAUGGUAUAUAGGAGUGGCAUCACAUUUAUAUUAAAGCUGGGGCGGUGAAAGAUGAGUAUGCGUUCUAUUAGCUAGUUGGAGAGGUAACGGCUCCCCAAGGCGACGAUAGAUAGGGGUUCUGAGAGGGAUAUCCCCCACACUGGUACUGAGAUACGAACCAGACUCCUACGGGAGGCAGCAGUGAGGAAUAUUGGACAAUGGUCGGAAGACUGAUCCAGCCAUGCCGCGUGCAGGAAGACGGCCUUAUGGGUUGUAAACUGCUUUUGCAGGGGAAGAAUAAGGACUACGAGUAGUUUGAUGACGGUACUCUGCGAAUAAGCAUCGGCUAACUCCGUG